rnacentral:rRNA from 1 species
UACGUAGGGGGCAAGCGUUGUCCGGAUUUAUUGGGCGUAAAGAGCGUGUAGGCGGCCAGGUAGGUCGGUUGUGAAAACUCGAGGCUCAACCUCGAGAUGUCGACCGAAACCAUCUGGCUAGAGUCCGGAAGAGGAGAAUGGAAUUCCCGGUGUAGCGGUGAAAUGCGCAGAUAUCGGGAAGAACACCCGUGGCGAAGGCGGGUCUCUGGACAGUUCCUGACACUGAGACACGAAGGCCAGGGGAGCAAACGGG